rnacentral:tRNA from 6 species
GCGACACUAGCUCAGUUGGUAGAGCGCAACCUUGCCAAGGUUGAGGUCACGGGUUCGAACCCCGUGUGUCGCUCCA